GACGAACGCUGGCGGCGUGCUUAACACAUGCAAGUCGAACGGAAAGGCCCUGCUUUUGUGGGGUGCUCGAGUGGCGAACGGGUGAGUAACACGUGAGUAACCUGCCCUUGACUUUGGGAUAACUUCAGGAAACUGGGGCUAAUACCGGAUAGGAGCUCCUGCUGCAUGGUGGGGGUUGGAAAGUUUCGGCGGUUGGGGAUGGACUCGCGGCUUAUCAGCUUGUUGGUGGGGUAGUGGCUUACCAAGGCUUUGACGGGUAGCCGGCCUGAGAGGGUGACCGGCCACAUUGGGACUGAGAUACGGCCCAGAAUCCAACGGGAGGCAGCAGUGGGGAAUAUUGCACAAUGGGCGGAAGCCUGAUGCAGCAACGCCGCGUGCGGGAUGACGGCCUUCGGGUUGUAAACCGCUUUCGCCUGGGACGAAGCGUGAGUGACGGUAAUGGGUAAAGAAGCACCGGCUAACUACGUG
rnacentral:rRNA from 1 species